rnacentral:tRNA from 1 species
AGCGGGCUAGCUCAAUCCGGUAGAGCGCAAGGCUCAUAACCUUGAGGUUCUCGGUUCAAAUCCGAGGCUCCGCAACCA